rnacentral:lncRNA from 1 species
GGGGGACUUUAACGCCCACGUGGGCAGCGACAGUGAUACCUGGAGGGGCGUGAUUGGGAGGAACGGCCUCCCUGAUCUGAACCCGAGUGGUGAGUUGUUAUUGGAUUUCUGUGCUAGUCGCGGUUUAUCCAUAACGAACACCAUGUUCAUGCAUAAGGGUGUCCACCAGUGCACUUGGCACCAGGACACCCUAGGUCGGAGGUCGAUGAUCGACUUUGUAGUCGUUUCUUCUGACCUUCGGCCAUAUGUUUUGGACACUCGGGUGAAGAGAGGGGCUGAGCUGUCAACUGAUCACCACCUGGUGGUGAGUUGGAUUCGAUGGCGGGGGAAAAAGCUGGAUAGACCUGGCAGGCCCAAACGCAUAGUGAGGGUCUGUUGGGAACGUUUGGCGGAGGCCCCUGUCAGAGAGGUCUUCAACUCCCACCUCCGACAGAGCUUCAACCAGGUCCCGAGGGAGGUGGGGGACAUUGAGUCCGAAUGGACUAUGUUCCGCUCCUCCAUUGUCGGUGCGGCGGUUCGGAGCUGCGGCCAUAAGGUCUCCGGUGCCUGUCGCGGCGGCAAUCCCCGAACACGGUGGUGGACACCGGAAGUAAGGGAUGCCGUCAAGCUGAAGAAGGAGUUCUAUCGGGCCUGGCUGGCUCAUGGGACUCCUGAAGCAGCUAACAGGUACCGACGGGCCAAACGGAGCGCGGCUCUGGCAGUCGCCGCGGCAAAAACUCGGGCUUGGGAGGAGUUCGGUGAGGCCAUGGAGGAAGACUUUCGGUCGGCCUCAAAGAGAUUCUGGCAAACCGUCCGGCGACUCAGAGGGGGGAAGCGGUGUUCCACGAACACUGUUUACAGUGGAAGUGGUGCGCUGCUGACCUCAGCUGAGGAUGUUCUCGGGCGGUGGAAGGAGUACUUUGAGGAUCUCCUCAAUCCCUCCGACACGCCUUCCGUAGAGGAAGCUGAGGCUGGGGACUCGGAGGGGGACUCGUCCAUUACCCUGGCUGAAGUUGCUGAGGUAGUCAAAAAACUCCUCGGUGGCAAGGCUCCGGGGGUGGAUGAGAUCCGCCCCGAGUUUCUCAAGUCUCUGGAUGUUGUGGGGCUGUCUUGGCUGACACGCCUCUGCAGC